AACGUCAAACUAAGAAAGGAGAUUAACGUUUUUUUGUUUACAUGUGUGAUUUAACAAACAUUUAAACAACAAAUACGGCAUCAUUAGACUUUCAGGAAGACGAAAGUGUCAGUGUUGGUUGAUUAGAUGCGAGUUAGUGUGACGAUAUUGGCCGCCAAAAGUAACUAUAGUAAAUGAGCAUAUUUGAGCUAGAAGCAAAGUAUAUGGAAUUAGCCUAUUAAAACGUACUGAAACGUCGUAUGAAUGAAGGUUGGAAUCCAGUUGGAAUCACUCUGAUGGUGCUGUGACUCGGGUCCUUGAGGCUUGUGAAGCGGGCCCCCCCCAACCCCUGAAAGCAAGAAGAUACGCUAAGACGCUGUUUAGCUGGCUGAUACAGGACCUUCCCUCCAACUCCGAUGAAGAUAAUAAUCCAAGACAAUUCCAGGAAUGAAAAAUAACAAGGAAUGGACUGGCUCUCCCAUAGAGAUAAAGUGAGAAGCACUGUCAUCCCGGAGAAACUUGGAGUAGAACCCAUGCUCCUCUGCACUGAGAGGAGCCAAAUGAGGUGGCUCGGACAUCUGGUCAGGGUACCUUCCAGUUGCCUCCUGGGGAGGUGCAUUCAGGGCACGUCCAACCGGUAGGAGGCCUUAGGGAAGACAGAGGACAUGUUGGAGAGACUUUGUCUCUCAAUUGGCAGAGGAACGCCUCGGGAUCUGUCGGGAGGACCUGGACGAAGUAGCCAAGGAGAGGGAAAUCUGAGCUUUCCUGUUUAGGCUGCUGCCCUCACAACCUAACCUUGGCUAAGCGGAAAAAGAUGGAUGGAUGGUCACUUCUUACUUAAUCCAGUCCUCAAACAUUUUAAUACUUGACUUAGGUCCCCUUUACACACA